GAUGAAUGCUGGCGGCGUGCCUAACACAUGCAAGUCGAGCGGCAGCGAGGGGUGCUUGCACCCUGUCGGCGAGCGGCGAACGGCUGAGUAACGCGUAGGAAUUUUCCCCAAAGUGAGGAAUAACUGCCCGAAAGGGUAGCUAAUGCCGCAUAUGGUCUUCGGAUUAAAGGAUUUAUCCGCUUUGGGAGAAGCCUGCGUUGGAUUAGGUUGUUGGUAGGGUAAUGGCCUACCAAGCCGUCGAUCCAUAGCUGGUCUGAGAGGAUGAUCAGCCAGACUGGAACUGAGACACGGUCCAGACUCCUACGGGAGGCAGCAGUGAGGAAUCUUCCACAAUGGGCGAAAGCCUGAUGGAGCAACGCCGCGUGAAGGAUGAAGGCCUUCGGGUUGUAAACUUCUUUUAUGAGUGAAGAAUAUGACGGUAACUCAUGAAUAAGCACCGGCUAACUACGUG
rnacentral:rRNA from 1 species